rnacentral:rRNA from 1 species
AGAGUUUGAUCCUGGCUCAGGACGAACGCUGGCGGCGUGCUUAACACAUGCAAGUCGAACGGAAAGGCCCUUUCGGGGGUACUCGAGUGGCGAACGGGUGAGUAACACGUGGGUGAUCUGCCCUGCACUUCGGGAUAAACUUGGGAAACUGGGUCUAAUACCGGAUAGGACCAUGCCAUGCAUGUGGUGUGGUGGAAAGCUUUUGCGGUGUGGGAUGGGCCCGCGGCCUAUCAGCUUGUUGGUGGGGUGAUGGCCUACCAAGGCGACGACGGGUAGCCGGCCUGAGAGGGUGUCCGGCCACACUGGGACUGAGAUACGGCCCAGACUCCUACGGGAGGCAGCAGUGGGGAAUAUUGCACAAUGGGCGCAAGCCUGAUGCAGCGACGCCGCGUGGGGGAUGACGGCCUUCGGGUUGUAAACCUCUUUCACCAUCGGCGAAGCCCAUGAUUUUUGUUGUGGGUGACGGUAGGUGGAGAAGAAGCACCGGCCAACUACGUGCCAGCAGCCGCGGUAAUACGUAGGGUGCGAGCGUUGUCCGGAAUUACUGGGCGUAAAGAGCUCGUAGGUGGUUUGUCGCGUUGUCCGUGAAAUUCCCUGGCUUAACUGGGGGCGUGCGGGCGAUACGGGCAGACUGGAGUACUGCAGGGGAGACUGGAAUUCCUGGUGUAGCGGUGGAAUGCGCAGAUAUCAGGAGGAACACCGGUGGCGAAGGCGGGUCUCUGGGCAGUAACUGACGCUGAGGAGCGAAAGCGUGGGGAGCGAACAGGAUUAGAUACCCUGGUAGUCC